AUCAAGUGAGGGGACAUGAAGAAUGGAUGCUGCUCAGAUGGGAUGCCUUGUCACCAAGUAAAGGUUGCAGAGAAAAUUCAUCCUGGCCACCAUCCUGACCUUCCAGACAAGUUGCCGGGACCCAGCCCUGCUCAUCAGCUGUGCUUACAAACCACCACCCUGGAGGAGAAAAAAGGUCGCUAGUGUUGCUCGUGGUCUGGAUCCUGGAGCCUCAAUUCUCUUUCCUGCCUGCUGCC